rnacentral:rRNA from 1 species
AUUGAACGCUGGCGGCAGGCCUAACACCUGCCAGUCGAGCGAGCGGCGGACGGGUGAGUAAUGUAUGGGGACUGCCCGCUCGAGGGGGAUCACUACUGGACACGGUAGCUAAUACCGCAUACUAUCGGAUAACCCAUAUGUGAUUAGCGAGUAGGUGAGGUAAUGGGUCUCCUAGGCGCCGAUCCCUAGCUGGUCUGAGAGGAUAAUCAGCCACACUGGGACUGAGACACGGCCCAGACUCCGACGGAGGCAGCAGUGGGGAAUAUUGCACAAUGGGCGCAAGCCUGAUGGAGCCAUGCCGCGUGUAUGAAGAAGGCCCUAGGGUUGUAAAGUACUUUCAGUCGGGAGGCGUUACCGACAGAAGAAGCACCGGCUAACUCCGUGCCAGCAGCCGCGGUAAUUC